rnacentral:lncRNA from 1 species
GACGAGAUCUCCUGAAAGAUGUUUGUAACCCCACAAGUCAAGACAGUUUGAAGAAUUCUCUGGAGCUGGAAUUAAAAGUAAGAUCUUUUAGCUCCUUUCAUUUGAGCAUUAGUCUAUCUUAAUUUAGACUAACGGGAUGAUGUUUGGAAAUCAACUAGGUUCUUAAGAAGCUAACCAGAAAACUUCAAAAAGACUGGGAAGAAGAACUGCAAAUAAAGCAAUAUGCAAAGAAUAUAUAUAAAGAUUUCAAACAAAAGGUGAAGCAUCUAGAGAAGAAAAAGGAACACCUUUCCGGACAAUGGGACAAAGAAAAAAAUAUCAUGCUCGAGACAAAGAAAACGCAUGAUACGAAGACGCAUGAUAGGAAGACGCAUGAUCGGAAGAUAGGUACAUAUCCUGAGGCUUAUUAUAUAAUGAUGGUGAAUGAUAACGUACCAUGAUGGUUUGUAACGUAUUGAUUUCGGGCUUGGAGUCUUUUAACUUUUUCCUAUUCCUUUCAGCAAAUUACUCCUGCAUAGUUUCACCACAACAUGUACGUAUCCAAGAAUUGUCUCAAAUCUGAAAAGAGAAAAAUAAGGAAACGAUGUUGUCACAGCUUGUAGCUUGGAUUAACAAAAUUGUUCAUCAAGAUUUGAACGAAAAAGGUGGCAAAAAACAAUUAAAUUACAUCAACUACCAGUAAAAUCUGAAGUGAAAUUAUACCGAAGCAACUACAACUGAAAUAUAAUGUCCAGGCACAAAGCUGAUAAAUUUGGAGAAGCACAUCAUCAGAGUUAGCAGAGUGACCCAAACCACCUAAUUAACCAUGUCAGAUAUAAAUUAGACUUGAGUCCUAGAGAGACGUGAAUUCAUUGAGGAACAAACGAGAGUGCACAGCACAGCACAACAAAAUAUUUUUUAUAAAUGCAUUGAUGGUCCUUCAACAUACAAAAAGACUUAAAGACUGUUCAGCUACUUGGUCAUCAAGUGUUUAUACUAAAGGAAAAGGCUUCAUGAUAUGAGAACUUAAUUUUCCGAAUUAGGACCCUUAAUACUGAAACUCGCUACAAAAAAGAACAACACAUCCAAGCCAAAACCCUUUUAGCUUCAAAUUAAAGUAUUGAGAAAAAAUUGGUGAAGUUAAAACAAGCCAAAAUGGAUAAUUUAAUUAAAUACAUACAAACCUAAUCAAUGAUCCAGUGACAAAACCUAAUAGAAUAAUCUAACAAAGGAGAAAAAGACAAUUAGUACAAGUGUCUUUUUUCCAAGAAUGUAAACUUCCACGAAACAAUAGAAGUAUAGAACAAUCACGAUCACUUGUUCUCGAAGCUUGCUUGACCCAAAACAUUUCAAGUCAUUUCAUAUUAUAAAACAAUAAUAUGAAGAACUUAAAACGAACGAACGUCAUAAAUAGCACAGAACAAGCUUUAGCCUCAAAGUCACUAACCUUUUGAAUGGCAUCAUCAUCAUCAUCUUCUUCAGUCAAAUUCAUAGAAAAAGCCCUUCUUGCCACCGGUUCCUUUGCUCUGUCCUACACCGAUCCUGAUCAGAAAUGGCUAAUCAGAAAGCAUCUGACUUCAUUCCUCC